AGUAAUAUAUUCUUUUUAUUCUUAAUACCUCUCAUAUAACAGACCAUGAGUUUUGCCUUCAUCCCUUUAUAUUCCUGUGCAAGAGAAAGACAGUCAACUUAUAAAAGUACUGUGGGGAAAAAGAAGGGGGAAAAAAACCAUAAGGCAGGAAAAGGACAACUUGAGUAAGAGGAGAGAAAAACCAAACACUACAGAUAUUUCAGACAAAGUAAUCAGGUCAAGGAUCUCAGUGAGGUUAUUUGAAAGGAGACAGGAACACAGAGUGGGAGCCAGUCAUGCAAAAUGCCAGGUACCCCAAGGAUUCUGGGGAAAGAGCUGUAGGAACAAACCAGUCCUAGCACCUGAUGUAGCUGGGUGAUCAAUGGGAGACCAUAGAG